UGCCAAACAGUGACCAUGGGCACGGGUGGGU
rnacentral:piRNA from 1 species